UCCAUGCUGAUGGCACUACAACAUUCCUGGGCUCCUUGAUGCCGUAAGAGAAUAUUACUGAAAUGCCUUCUACUUCUUCAUUCAAUUCACAUAUAUUGGGUGCACCCAUAAGGAGAGGGCAUCUAUCACAAAAGUCUGUCAUGAAGCGAAAGAGAUCUUUCAAGAGACAAAAAGCCAAGUUGGUCAUAGAAAGCUUGAAAUUUUAUUGCAUGACAAUGAUGAAGAGGAGGCAGCAUUGCAGAGAGUUGCCCAAGCUGAACGUGCGGCAAAAUAGGCUAUACAAAGAGCUAUUCGACUGCGCAACAAGGUCCAAUUCUCAUGACAAACACAGAGCUCACAACAUACAAAUUUAUCAUGGCUCUCAGGAUUACCGAGGCUGCUAGGAUAUCAGACUCGUCCCAAGAUAUUAUUUGUAUUAUCCUCGACUAAAGAAUAAUAUGGGUUGUUCAUUAUUUUUGUGAGGAGCAUGGGAAACACUCUUCGUACCAUGAUAUUGGCUUUUUGAUGAGUUGUUCGUUGUUUUUAAGAAUAUACUGCCUUGUAAGUCAUUUUGUUUAAAUCUUAAUAGGAUGGUUUCCAAAAUGUACAAUAUCUGCCUCUUAGAUAAGAUGAUUUUCUUGUUGCAA